rnacentral:ncRNA from 2 species
GCGAUUAUGUUCCAAGGAAGCGGGGUGCAAAUCCCCCACUGUGCCGCAACCGUAAAGUCGGAAAACUAGUAAUCGC